rnacentral:rRNA from 1 species
AGUGAACGCUGGCGGUAGGCCUAACACAUGCAAGUCGAACGGCAGCACAGUAAGAGCUUGCUCUUACGGGUGGCGAGUGGCGGACGGGUGAGGAAUACAUCGGAAUCUACUUUUUCGUGGGGGAUAACGUAGGGAAACUUACGCUAAUACCGCAUACGACCUACGGGUGAAAGCAGGGGAUCUUCGGACCUUUCGCGAUUGAAUGAGUCGAUGUCGGAUUAGCUAGUUGGCGGGGUAAAGGCCCACCAAGGCGACGAUCCGUAGCUGGUCUGAGAGGAUGUUCAGCAACACUGGAAUUGGGACACGGUCAAGACUCCUACGGGAGGCAGAAGUGGGGAAUAUUGGACAAUGGGCGCAAGCCUGAUCCAGCCAUACCGCGUGGGUGAAGAAGGCCUUCGGGUUGUAAAGCCCUUUUGUUGGGAAAGAAAAGCAGCAGGUUAAUACCCCGCUGUUCUGACGGUACCCAAAGAAUAAGCACCGGCUAACUUCGUG